AUCCCAAGAUAGGUUUAGAUUUGUUGUCUCCAUGCUGGGGAAAAUGCAAAGUGUAGAUGUGGCACAUUAGUGUUUUGAAUAAUGUGUCAUAGAGUGACCAUAAUUUUACAUAACUCUGAAAAUGUAUGACUAUCCCCAAUCAGGUUUGCUGGGCUAUCUUUAGCCCAAGUGCCUGAAGAUAAUUACCUGAUAACUAUACCAGAAAGAAAAAAGUCUCAUCAGUUUAGUGCUUACUUUCAAGUAAGUAUGUAUAUGAGGGGCUGUGCUCCUCGUCUACUUUGGGGCAAGUGCAGUUAAAAGGAGAAGCUGACUUCUAAGUGAUAGAUACGAUCUGGGUGCAUGUAUAUUUUGAGGAGGGUGAUGCACACAUUGAUUUACCUAGAUCCACAAGUAGGCUAAUGUAGCAAUAAUUUCCAUUUAUAGCAAUUAGAUUUAUAAUGCUUGCAUUUAGGAUUACAGCAUUAAUUAAACUCCAGACAGGAAGCUUCACAAGGGGAAGAGGGAGGCAUAUGAAGAUCUCUGAGGGAUUGUUGAUUUAGAAAGAUCUAUAUUGCUUGAACAAAGGCCUAAGUCCUGUAGAGAUUGACAUACAAUUCUUUCUAACAAUGUUAAUCUUCAUUUUCAGGGGUGUCUGCUUUCCUCUGCUCCAAAAUCAGAUAAUUCCUUCCAACCUUUAAUUUUUCUUUCUUUUUUCCUUGCUCUGAGUCUGUGCACUGUUAAGGUUGAUCCUAUGCAUGGUUAAUUGGCAGUAAGUCCCAACGGGGUUUCCUUUAAAGUAUAUAUGUGUAUGUAUAAGUGUGUGUGUGUGUGUAGAAUUGUAGCUUUAUAGCUACACUAAGUAAAAUUGUGCCAGCGCCUAGAUUUUCUUCUCUCCUGUGUGUAUGAUACAUUGCUUAGUGAGAGACUCCUUUUCGUGACAGCCUGGGAUGGCAGAAGCUGGGCAUUGCUGACUGAAAUGAGCUUGCUGAGAGACUCCAGCCUCGUUGGACCCAACUUCCAUCUAAACCAGCCGAGCAGAGAAAUUGCCUGUUACCUUGGGUCGAUUUUUCAUGCACUCUUAAAUUGCUUUGUAUUGACACGCUGUCAGAAAUGGAUUGUCACAUUAACCCGCUGAGCCAGGCCUGGGUUCUUGAGCAUGUGCAAUUGGACUUAUGUUCUUCCAGGUUUAGUACAGGAGGAUGGUGCCUUUUUUCUCCUCUUUUUUCUUCUCAUCUGCCUGGUCCCAUCUAUCUCGUUAGAUCUAAAGCAGUAUCCUUUAUUUACGUGGCGUCUGCUUGUUCCUGUGGAUCCCCCCCCCCCCAGCCUCAAUGCUCAAAUCCAUCAUAAUUCUGCUAAGAUGUGAUGUGUUGUGACUGCGCUUGAUUGACAGUUCUUCAUGCCUGCCCUACUGCUUAGCUGUGGAACCAAAGCAUCUGCAUUUGAGAGCAAAGCUGAAUUGUAAAGUGCCAUGUGGGAGGGGUUUCUUUACAAAGAAGAAAAAAGGAGAGUCAAAACAGUGCAAGUUGCUUUUCUUCAGAAAUGUCACCUGGUGUCACUUGAUGGUGGAGAUGUUUCAGGAAGAAAACCUUCCAGAGGAAGAUGGAAGAGUAAGGUGCUGUAUGCCGCCCUUGAUGGAUUGCAGAGACUAUUCUUUAGAUCCUUUCCCAAUUCAAGAAGUAAAAACCAGCAGCUUGUGAGUCUUUCUACUAACUUCUUCUAGCAGUUCACCUUGGGGAACAUGACAACAGUUUAGGGAACUCUGUGAUGGAUUGAUGAUGUCGCAUUUUAAAGAUCUUAACUCAUUGCCAUAGCUGAAUUCAGGUUUGUGAAGAAAUUCACCUUAUGUCAAUAUCAAGUAUUUUACUAUCUCUUUUCCCCACUCAGUUCAGUAGAGAAAUUUGUUUGCUCUAUUGACCUUUUGAGAACCAAUAAUUAAUCUAAAAGAAAAAAAAUGGUCAGAAACAAUAAAUAACCAUUACCAAUCAUCAAAGGUAUUCUCAUCCUCAUCCUCCUUUCCCUCAAUAUUAGAACUUAAAGUGGCUUGUGUGUGUGUAAGUGCUUUCAGUCACCUGUUGUUUUACAGACCAUUAAAUGAACUAAAACGUACAAAAAUGUGUGUGUGUGUGUGUGUGAUGUUAAUAAGCCUCUAUAGCAGGCAUGGACAAACUUCGGUCCUCCAGGUGUUUUGGACUUAAACUCCCACAAUUCCUAACAGCUGGUAAACCGGCUAGGAUUUCUGGGUGUGGAAGUCCAAAAUACCUGGAGGGCCAAAGUUUGCCCAUGUCUGCUCUAUAGCAUUAACACAAUUAAAAUUAUAUUAAAAGACAGGACAUAGAAAACAGCAAAGCAAUUGAAACCCCAUUAUAGUGAAUUUUUGAAGACAUGUUGGAAAAAGAAAACAUUCACUUGCUGGCAGAAUGAGGCCCCUUCUACACUGUCAUACAAUCCAGAUUAUCAAAACAUUAUCUGCUUUGAACUGGAUUACAUGAGUCUACACUGCCAUAUAACCAGAGCCAGCCCUAGGUAUUUUUCAAGUGUAGGCGAACAGAAUUUUGGCGUCCCCCCCCCCCAAACCAAUCACUGAAAAAUAAAAGUGUUGGAUAAGCAAAACUGUUGGAUAAUAAGGAAGGAUAAAGGAAAAGCCUAUUAAACAUCAAAUUA